UGGAUUGAGAAUCGAGUCGGCGUCGUUGGCUUCGUUCAGUGACGCACGUCACAUCAAGAUCAGUUGAGUAGUGAUCUCGCUCGAAAGCCGACGAAUUGUACGCACGACGCACACGUGCUGCCCGUGCCCAUCCCUUCUCCGCACCGUGUCCGAGCGUUCCGCCGCCGCUCGCUCGGCGUCAACCCAUCGACACCACGCCAACGGUACCGUUCUCAUCGGUGCCUUUGCCUUGCAUAACCUAUACCUUCUUGGUAUAUUAAUUAUUAUGUAAUGCAGAAGUAAACAUUGCAUCCAAACCACGUGUGCGUACCGGCCGGUAAAUCAUAUCAUCGUUGUUCUAAGACCAUCCAGUUCUUUAAGUACCUACUCCGGAACUGAGACCCGAAUUUAUACUAAAAUUAUAUAAGUAAAUGUCAUCAAAUAAGUGCAAGUUUUAAAACAUAAAUUUCAAGAGUACCUUAAUUAAGUAGGUACCUACUACUUUUAUUAUUGUGUUGUUUGAGUUAAAAAUAACUUCAGUGAAAUGUCUAAUUCAGUGGAGCAGCAGUUUAGCGAGCUUACUCUAUCCCAGGAGGAUCAUGAUCAAAUAUUCGAACAGGACGAUCACCAAGAAAGCCGAUCAUCAAAGGUGGUACUCAUCAGUGGGCUCCCUCUUCAUGUUCGAUUCGACAACAUCGAGCCUCUGCUCUCACAGUACGGCAACGUGCAGCAUUGCGACAAAGUGAGCUCUCGCGAUGCCAACACCCAAGCGGUGUACAUCACGUUCGAGACGCCGGAGCAGGCGCAACAAGCCAUCAAUGGGUUGAACGGGUGCGAGUUCGAAGGUAGCCGCAUGAAGGUGGAAGCGGCAGAGCAGAACGCUCGCGGAGGACGGCGUGGACGUCCGGGCGGCGGCCGCGGCGGCGGCGGCGCUCCCGGCGGCGGCUCUCGCCCCACCGACUUCCCGUUGAGGCUUCUGGUGCAAAGCGACAUGGUGGGCGCAAUCAUCGGCCGCCAAGGCAGCACCAUCCGCCUCAUCACGCAGCAGAGCCGCGCACGUGUCGACGUCCACCGCAAAGACAAUGUCGGCUCCCUAGAAAAAGCCAUCACCAUCUAUGGCAACCCCGAAAAUUGCACUAAUGCCUGCAAGAGAAUACUGGAGGUGAUGCAGCAGGAGGCCAACAACACUAAUAAGGGUGACAUUUGCCUGAAAAUAUUGGCGCAUAACAACCUGAUAGGAAGAAUCAUAGGCAAGGGUGGAAUCACUAUCAAAAGAAUCAUGCAGGAAACUGAUACCAAAAUCACUGUCUCUUCUAUAAAUGAUAUAAAUAGCUUCAAUUUGGAGCGUAUCAUCACUGUGAAAGGUACAAUUGAGAACAUGGCUAAAGCGGAGUCACAAAUUUCAGCAAAAUUGCGCCAGAGCUAUGAAAAUGAUUUGCAGGUGCUGGCGCCGCAAAGCAUAAUGUUCCCGGGUUUGCACCCGAUGGCGAUGAUGUCGACCGGCCGCGGUUUCUGUGGCGCUCCCCCGCCAUUCCCCCCGCCUAUUUACGCCCCCCUGGCUGGCCAGGGCGGUGCGCAACAAGGCGCAGGAGACUCACAGGAAACCACGUAUUUGUACAUACCGAACAACGCCGUGGGAGCUAUCAUUGGCACAAAGGGUUCACACAUUCGCAACAUAAUCCGGUUCAGCAGCGCCUCCGUAAAGAUAGCUCCACUUGAACAAGAUAAACAGGGCGCAGAGGCCCAGAACAAUGCCCAGCAGGAGCGCAAAGUUACCAUUGUCGGCAGCCCUGAGGCCCAGUGGAAGGCGCAAUAUCUUAUCUUCGAAAAGAUGAGGGAGGAAGGGUUCAUGUCUGGGUCUGACGAUGUUCGGCUGACAGUGGAAAUCGUGGUGGCGUCGUCACAGGUGGGCCGCAUCAUCGGCAAGGGUGGGCAGAAUGUGCGCGAGCUGCAGCGCGUCACUGGGUCGCUGAUCAAGCUGCCUGAGCAGCCGCAGCAACAGGGCGUCCAACAAGACCACGAUACCACCGUGCACAUCGUCGGACCAUUCUACAGCGUCCAGCUGACAUCUGAAGCUGGCUGAGAGUUGAAGCCGCCUGUUCACUUCAUGAUCAAUGUGCGAUGACAAAGCACUACUGAAUGGCCAUUUUAACCAUUGAUACGCCUAAAUAUAGAGCGCGCAACGUCGCAUCCGCGCGAUGGUGGCGCAGGCCAGCGCGCCGGGCCGCCGCCGAGCCGCCACUGCGUCCGGCGCCGCCCCG
rnacentral:misc_RNA from 1 species